rnacentral:pre_miRNA from 1 species
GUUGUACUCCCUCCGUUCGGAAUUACUUGUCGCGAAAAUGGAUGUAUGUAGACGUAUUUUAGUUCUAGAUACAUCCAUAUUCGAGACAAGUAAUUCCGAACGGAGGGAGUAGGUG